rnacentral:rRNA from 1 species
CCUACGGGAGGCAGCAGUGGGGAAUAUUGCACAAUGGGCGCAAGCCUGAUGCAGCAACGCCGCGUGAGGGACGACGGCCUUCGGGUUGUAAACCUCUUUUAGUAGGGAAGAAGCGAAAGUGACGGUACCUGCAGAAAAAGCACCGGCUAACUACGUGCCAGCAGCCGCGGUAAUACGUAGGGUGCAAGCGUUAUCCGGAAUUAUUGGGCGUAAAGAGCUCGUAGGCGGUUUGUCACGUCUGCUGUGAAAACUGGAGGCUCAACCUCCAGCCUGCAGUGGGUACGGGCAGACUAGAGUGCGGUAGGGGAGAUUGGAAUUCCUGGUGUAGCGGUGGAAUGCGCAGAUAUCAGGAGGAACACCGAUGGCGAAGGCAGAUCUCUGGGCCGUAACUGACGCUGAGGAGCGAAAGCAUGGGGAGCGAACAGGAUUAGGAUACCCUGGUAGUCCAUGCCGUAAACGUUGGGAACUAGAUGUAGGGACCAUUCCACGGUUUCUGUGUCGCNGCUACGACAUUACGUUCCCGUCCGUCGGGAGGUACGGCCGCCGACGGACGUAAACGUAACGAAAGGAAGUAGACGGCGUAGAGACGUACGACCGACGGACGACCGACGAGGGAGGUUAGG